CGGCACGAAGAAAUACUGUGCCAGCAAAAGUUAAUAUGCCAUUCGUUUUUUCCACCGAAGGGAUAAGUGAAACGUGUUCCAUCCACGAUCGCUAUCUGAAAAACGUAAAGCUGGAUACCAGCAGCAUCGAGUUAGGAGAAUCGUUUGCCUUUUACCAGGACCAGUUAACUACAGGGAAAGUGGUCAAGAGGAGCGAGCUGUUCGCGUGGCCCUAUCUACUCCCGGAUGGGGUUGCAGGCAGUAUUGCGACGACAACAAGCAAACAAACCAAACAGAUACAUCUACCCUCCCAUGAACUGAUCCCGCCUUACGACGAUCUACCACACAUUACAGCUGCUGCUUGUGACGCUGCUGUAGCUCUAAAUCGUCAUCGUCAAUCGAAAAGACAUCGUGCGACAGGAAACCACAGAGCGGACAACGACGACGACACCGAUAAACGCUGGCAACCACAAUGAUGAUGCAGCGGCCACUGCAGGUGCUGCCGUGUUCUUUCUCUAUGGCGACUAUCCGCCCACCCGCCCACAAUCACUUGGUCGCCUUGCUUAGUCAAUCGCUCGGCUAACCGACAAAGCCUGCUAGCCAGCACAAGACAGCGCACGGAACCGCCUGCUGGGGCAGAAGCGACAGCAGGAGCAGCAGGACCUUCACAACAACAACAGCAGCGGAACCCUCUCUCUCUCUUCUUCUUGUGAACGAACCAACAACGGGGGCUGCUCCCACAGCACAGACGACUCUCGUAAAGCAGCAACAGCAGCGGCAGUGGCUACUGCGGUCGUACAGCCAACAACCUUUUCCAAUCAUCAGCACUGCUGACGCCGCAGCGACCGCCGCUUCCAUCACUGUCAUCCUUGCCUUGGCGCUGAUGAUGCUGUUUCCGAUGCUGAGGCCGCUCUGUUUAUAGUCGAGCUUCGAGCUGGGUCCACCAGGGCGGCGCCACUGAGCCGCGCGAAAACAUAGUAGGGUGACGGUAAUGGGCAUCGGGCAGUGGGUAACGAGAAACUUGGGUGCGCUUAACUUGGCUUAGCGCAACUGAUCCUAGAAAGGGUGAACGCGGAGCGCGAAGAGUCUGUGAAAACUGAAGCACGCAGGAUUAAGGUGAGCAAGCAACGGUAAAUGGUAGGUAGAACUCAACAGAACCGAUUGGGUCGAACCAUCGCUAUUGCUGAAGUGGCAUAAUGGUCUAUGUUCAACAGUAAAACUUAUUUUCCACUUUCCGAGCUGUUCCAUGCUGAGAUACGAUAUGUAAUGAAUGUAUUAUGAACGAAGUUCGCCCACGGCAAAGAAUGACGAAUUAAUUGUAUGGAAGAAUACAAAUGUUAGCGAAAAACGCAAGAAAACGAACUGAGGAUAAGCCAUGGGGAUACCGAGGAUAAUCAGCUUCCUUAUAGGAUGUCUUCGCGGAACUGGUAUCGACAGACGAAUGAGUGGUCGUUGAUCGAUGCCCAGGCUCCUUGCAUUAGUACAUAGAAUAUGAAGUUAUUAAAAAUCCAAUUGAAGGAAGAAAAGCGUGCAAUAUCAGACUUAGCAGUGAAUGCACGAUGGGAUCAUUGUUUUAAAUCGCAGAAUUCACGAGCAUGAGCUUCCGGCUUCUCUCUCGACUUGAGGCACAAUAAAAUACAUUUAAUAACGGCUCA